CUUGCUUCUCUUGAGAGCGGCGGACGGGUGAGUAAUGCCUAGGAAUCUGCCUGGUAGUGGGGGAUAACGUCCGGAAACGGACGCUAAUACCGCAUACGUCCUACGGGAGAAAGCAGGGGACCUUCGGGCCUUGCGCUAUCAGAUGAGCCUAGGUCGGAUUAGCUAGUUGGUGGGGUAAUGGCUCACCAAGGCGACGAUCCGUAACUGGUCUGAGAGGAUGAUCAGUCACACUGGAACUGAGACACGGUCCAGACUCCUACGGGAGGCAGCAGUGGGGAAUAUUGGACAAUGGGCGAAAGCCUGAUCCAGCCAUGCCGCGUGUGUGAAGAAGGUCUUCGGAUUGUAAAGCACUUUAAGUUGGGAGGAAGGGCAGUAAAUUAAUACUUUGCUGUUUUGACGUUACCGACAGAAUAAGCACCGGCUAACUCUGUGCCAGCAGCCGCGGUAAUACAGAGGGUGCAAGCGUUAAUCGGAAUUACUGGGCGUAAAGCGCGCGUAGGUGGUUCGUUAAGUUGGAUGUGAAAUCCCCGGGCUCAACCUGGGAACUGCAUUCAAAACUGACGAGCUAGAGUAUGGUAGAGGGUGGUGGAAUUUCCUGUGUAGCGGUGAAAUGCGUAGAUAUAGGAAGGAACACCAGUGGCGAAGGCGACCACCUGGACUGAUACUGACACUGAGGUGCGAAAGCGUGGGGAGCAAACAGGAUUAGAUA
rnacentral:rRNA from 1 species